ACACAUGCAAGUCGAACGGGAAAUACUUUAUUGAAACUUCGGUCGAUUUAAUUUAUUUCUAGUGGCGGACGGGUGAGUAACGCGUGGGUAACCUGCCUUAUACUGGGGGAUAACAGCCAGAAAUGACUGCUAAUACCGCAUAAGCGCACAGAACCGCAUGGUUCCGUGUGAAAAACUCCGGUGGUAUAAGAUGGACCCGCGUUGGAUUAGCUAGUUGGCAGGGCAGCGGCCUACCAAGGCGACGAUCCAUAGCCGGCCUGAGAGGGUGAACGGCCACAUUGGGACUGAGACACGGCCCAGACUCCUACGGGAGGCAGCAGUGGGGAAUAUUGCACAAUGGGGGAAACCCUGAUGCAGCGACGCCGCGUGAAGGAAGAAGUAUCUCGGUAUGUAAACUUCUAUCAGCAGGGAAGAUAAUGACGGUACCUGACUAAGAAGCCCCGGCUAACUACGUGCCAGCAGCCGCGGUAAUACGUAGGGGGCAAGCGUUAUCCGGAUUUACUGGGUGUAAAGGGAGCGUAGACGGCGCAGCAAGUCUGAUGUGAAAGGCAGGGGCUUAACCCCUGGACUGCAUUGGAAACUGCUGUGCUUGAGUGCCGGAGGGGUAAGCGGAAUUCCUAGUGUAGCGGUGAAAUGCGUAGAUAUUAGGAGGAACACCAGUGGCGAAGGCGGCUUACUGGACGGUAACUGACGUUGAGGCUCGAAGCGUGGGGA
rnacentral:rRNA from 1 species